rnacentral:rRNA from 1 species
GAGUAAGAAACAGCUCAACGGAGUAGUGACUGAUAGGCGAAAAGAAUAGUUACUGGCGGUCCUCAACCUAUCUAGAGGUACAUGUGAAGUAGAAUGAAUCUACACAAAAAAUCUUUUACUCUUUUGAAAUAAAGCAUUUUGCACACCACUGUCUGAAAAAGGAAGAAGCGAUUCCUUUUUUUCUAAAAAAGUAGGGUAAGGCAAGCAAACGUGCAGACUAUAGGAGUAAACUCAUGUGUUCCAAUUUUACUAAUGAAAUGAUGAAAGAAAUGAAAGAGAAUUUAGGAGUAAAAAAAUUUUAUCAAACUUCUUUGAAAAGAGCACUAGAGGACGU